UGCCAUCAUUGCUGUUGUGGAGGAGGAGGAGGAGAACACCUCGCCUUUCAACCCAGAUGAUUUACUAAUUGUAAAUGCCAUCCAAAGCGCUUUACAAUUUUGCCUCACAUUCACCCAUUGACGGCGGUGUCAGCCAUGCAAGGCGCCAUCCAGCUCGUCGGGAGCAGCUGGGGUUAGGUGUCUUGCUCAAGGACACCUCGACACUUGGUCAGGUGGAGCCGGGGAUUGAACCACCAACCUUCCGAUUUGUAGACAACCUACAUGAACCACUCAACCACUGCCGCCCCACAACUGUAAUUGUCCUUGAAGAUGAGGUGGUGAUGUCUACUAAGUCCUGGUAAGUUAAGGACUAACGUUAUCUGACUGCCUGUUUGUCUGUGUUCAACCAAACGGUCAUUCAAGACCUUUUAAAGCACAAACGUAUCCUGCGCAAGUUUGAAUUUCUCUCAAAGGACUAACUGACUGGCUGUCUGUUCUCGACCAAGCGGUCAUUCCUACUCAUUAAACCUUUGCACAAACAUUUCCCGCGCAAGUUUGAAUCUCUCGCAGUGAGUACUGACUUACAGCCCUUCACUCAUAAAACCUUUUAAAGGUAACGUUACCACAUUUAUUUGUUCAUUUAUUAUGUUGUAAGUACACCACAGUUCUGUAAGUAGAAAAUGAAUUCAUAUUUAUGUGUUUUUUUACUG